AACCUUACUACUAACUUUUGAUUUUCGGAAUCACCUUGGAGACCAGCUAUGUUAUUUUCAACACCUGGGCUGAUGCCUCUUCACAUUUCCCAAGCAGCUUUCUGCACCCAACCUUGUGGUCUUGGCCGUGACAAUGUGAGAGAGAAGUGGGGAAAAACCAAAUGAGGUCGAAUCCAAUCUAAACAAAACUGCAAGCAAUCGUGAGAAUUUUAGAGUGCUAAAAGAAAAUGCAGAGAUAUUUAUUUAUUUCUGGGUUCUGGGUCCAGAAAGGGGAAAUUCCAUCAACUUUGCUUUCUCCUCACCACCCCCAGCAUGUUGGAGGGAGGGAGAGGGGAGAAGGUCACUGUUUCUUUUUGUCCUCUGAGUAAAUUGGAGCUGACAAAUGGCUGGACUGUGUCGGCAGUGCUGAUUUCAGAGCCAUCUUGAACUUCAAGGAAAAACCUGUUCCUGUGUUUGGGUGGUCUGAAAGCCCUCUAAGCCAUCAAACUGCCUGUCUGUGUCAAAGGCCUUGUUAUCAGAUGUCUUUGUGAAAACUCAGCAUCUGCCCUUGGUCUUGUUCCUUGAACUUUUAUAGUCUGCAGGUAGAGUCUUCGGCAGAAAGCAGCAGUAGACAGCUACUGAAGGGUAAGAGUUGCUAUCUGAGAUAAAGGAACCGUUGCACAAGGCACAUCGAGUUAUCAUCAUCGUGCAGGCAAACCGAAGUCAGUGGACACGUGGAUAUGGAAGUCACCUUUCUUUUUCGCACCGGGAGUCAGGAGAGUAAUAAGCCUACAUUUCCUGUACACUGUUAAGGAUUUAAAAUGUGAACAUUCUUUUGAAGAAGGAGGUGAAGAAGACAAGGAAAGUGUGGAGUUAGGGUGGGCAGGAAGGAGGAAGGAAGGAAGGAAAUGAGGUUGGAGAAAGGGCAUUUCUCUAUCUGCCAAUCGCACUUCGGAGAACGCCGGCUGUUUAGGCCAUCAGCCCGUAGUGGCUCUUUUUGGCUUGUGAAGUUUGUCAAAUGUUCGUCAGAUGUGGCAGAGGUUGUGCACUGUGAGUGAAGUCAGACUAAGAUCUGGAGGGAAUUGGCAGAUGCCUAACCUGAGAUACUAUAGCAAAAAUUAGAUUGAAGGAAUGGUUAAAGAAAAUGAGAGCCAAAGUUCACAACUCUUGGUCCAGAUAAAUUAGAAGCAAGUGCAAGUGCAAGUGAAGAAGGGUUGGAGCCAGGAAGUGUGAAAAAGGCACUUAGUAGCAACGUACCUUCUUCCUCCUUUGGACAACACGUUUGCCCAUGACACCUGGAACUGUGACACUGUCUAGGCCCAUCAAGGCAGUGAACUGAGCACAAGAUAUUGAAUGCUAUACUGAAGAAGUUUGAGUGUGAAGGUGAAGAGUCUGGCUCCCUGAGGACAUCACUGAGCCACCAAAUUAAUCUGCUCUAGAGCUAUCACAUCUUCAGAAUUCUUGUUGAGUAAGAUAAUGUUUUUUGUUGAUUUUAAAUUGCACUAUCUUUUCAUUGUUCAACAUCUUUGAAAUGAGAGUGUAUUUCGCUUCGUCAUGAUAAUAUCUUACAAUCACUGCUGGAGGGGGCAGUCCUGACAUUGUCAUCAUUGCCUAUUCAUGUGUCAGUUUGAUUGUUAGUCCCAGUGACAGGACUGACAAUGGCAGCCCUUCAACAGUUCAGUCAACAAACCACUGAAGGAUGUUGGAGUCAGGGAUCUUGUUUUCUGUUGGAACACCUUGCGUGGACACCUUCUAGAAAGACAGAGAAAGCACCGUCAUCAAAACUUCCAUAAAAGUGUCAAUGCUCAGAAGAAAAUUCAAGGGGCUAUAGUGAAGCCAUCUUUUCAAAAAAUGCUGCUCACCAUAUCACAAAGGAUAAUAUUGGGUAGAAAAGGUAGAGGAUUGAUGGCUCUGAGCUUAAAACAAUAUCAGAACAUUUAAACUCACUGUGAAAAUGCUUUAAGAAUGUGAACCAACAUAUUUAAUUUAUGGUUGUAUAUAUACAUAUAUUUCUGCUGUAGAGCAUAUA